rfam:Schistosoma mattheei strain Denwood, Zambia genome assembly, scaffold: SMTD_scaffold0002644
AGCUUUUCGAAUCCGUGUGGAGAUUUCGUCAGACGCUAACUCAUUUGGGCUGAUCACACUUCCAAGAUAAGUAAAGUU